UACGUAGGGCGCAAGCGUUGUCCGGAAUUAUUGGGCGUAAAGAGCUCGUAGGCGGCCUGUUGCGUCCGCUGUGAAAUCCCGGGGCUUAACCCCGGGCGUGCAGUGGAUACGGGCAGGCUGGAGGCAGGCAGGGGAGAACGGAAUUCCCGGUGUAGCGGUGAAAUGCGCAGAUAUCGGGAGGAACACCGGUGGCGAAGGCGGGUCUCUGGGCCGAUACUGACGCUGAGGAGCGAAAGCGUGGGGAGCGAACAGG
rnacentral:rRNA from 1 species